UUUCCGUAGGUGAACCUGCGGAAGGAUCAUUAAAAAAAUAUACGCCUGGUGGAGGAAUUGAGCAAUCGCCGAAACCAGAAGCUGUGUAUACAACCACCUGUUUACCUUUACCUGUUGCUUCCGUGGAAUACGGGUGCUCUUCCUGUUCGCAGGCUUGAGUUACCUUCCACGGGUGUAUUUUAAAACUCGUUUUGUAUUAUUGUCUGAUCUAAAAUUUUAAUAAAAGUUAAAACUUUCAACAACGGAUCUCUAGGUUCUC
rnacentral:misc_RNA from 1 species